ACGAACGGCUGGCGGCCGUGCCUAAUACAUGCAAGUCGAACGGUCUUUUCUAUGGAAGCUUGCUUCCACUGAGAAGAUAGUGGCGAACGGGUGAGUAACACGUGGGUAACCUGCCCAUAAGAGGGGGAUAACAUCCGGAAACGGGUGCUAAUACCGCAUAGUUUCUUGAUCGCAUGAUUGAGAAAGGAAAGACGGCCUUUGUGCUGUCGCUUAUGGAUGGACCCGCGGCGUAUUAGUUAGUUGGUGAGGUAACGGCUCACCAAGACGAUGAUACGUAGCCGACCUGAGAGGGUGAUCGGCCACAUUGGGACUGAGACACGGCCCAAACUCCUACGGGAGGCAGCAGUAGGGAAUCUUCCGCAAUGGACGAAAGUCUGACGGAGCAACGCCGCGUGAGUGAAGAAGGUUUUCGGAUCGUAAAACUCUGUUGUCAGAGAAGAACAAGUUGGAGAGUAACUGCUCCAGCCUUGACGGUAUCUGACCAGAAAGCCACGGCUAACUACGUG
rnacentral:rRNA from 1 species